AAAUAAUUGAAUUGUUAUUUUUCUAUUAGAACAUACCUGCAACACAAUCAACAAAUUAUGAAAACCUAAAAGACAAUGUCAAUGUAACAAGAGAUGAGCAAGGUUAUGCUGAUAUACAAAGUGUGGGGCCAAGCGUUGCUACAACAUUAAACCAUGGAUAUGAAACUUUUAUUGGAAGGAAAUACGAGAAUACGGCACGGCAAUCCUUAUCAAAAUGAAACCCAAUAUAAACACGUGGCUUAAAGGUUUUGUAAUAUAGAAGCUAGACUGUCGUUUCCCAAGAAAGAUUGUGGCUAUUUCAUAUUUUAUAGUGUUUCUGCACACAUUAUAUCUUUCAUGUUAACAUCUCAUUUCAUCUUUCUUUUGGUUGUUAGGUUCAGCAUUAAACAAAAGCUAUAAGAAGUCAUAUAUACAUAAAACUACCAGGUUUUGUAUUAAUUGUAUAAAUGUAGCAUUACAGUUUUAUAUAUUUCUAAUAUUUAAGACAGGUAUUUUAAUAUUGCUUUUCACUUCCAACAUAUACAUAUUUCCCGUGCAUUUUCAUGUCUUUGCUCUUAUAAUAUAUGUGGCUUCCACAAACCCUUCCUUAAGUGAGCGAUUAUAAUAGCCAAGUGAAACUAGGUGCAAGUUAUACAUACAUAUUGAUGUAUGUGUGGUUACACAUGUAAUAUGUGUUCAAUGAAGCUUUAUUAAUCAUUGAUACAAAGCUUUCGAU